UCGAGGUGCCAAUCUCUUUUGUCAAUUUGGUCUCUCAAAAAGAAUUAGCCUGUUAUCCCUAUGGUAGCUUUAUUUAAUAAUCGCAGAGCGGAUCUAUAUUUUUAUAUAGAGAAGAUUUAGUUAUUCUCUUGUUGCCCCAACAAAAUCUUACAGACGAGAGCGUAUGAUAAGAUGAAGCUCAAUAGGGUCUUUUUGUCUUUUUAUUUUAUUUAAGCCUCUUCACUUAAAUGUUAAUUUUUAUUAAUAAGAAAGAAACAGCUUAACUCUCGUAAUUCCAUUCAUUCCAGUCUCUAAUUAGGAGACAAAUUAUUAU
rnacentral:rRNA from 1 species